rnacentral:rRNA from 1 species
CACUGCCGAGAAAAGCCUCUAGAUAGAAAAUAGGUGCCCGUACCGCAAACCGACACAGGUAGUCAAGAUGAGAAUUCUAAGGUGAGCGAGCGAACUCUCGUUAAGGAACUCGGCAAAAUGACCCCGUAACUUCGGGAGAAGGGGUGCUCUUUAGGGUUAACGCCCAGAAGAGCCGCAGUGAAUAGGCCCAAGCGACUGUUUAUCAAAAACACAGGUCUCUGCUAAACCGUAAGGUGAUGUAUAGGGGCUGACGCCUGCCCGGUGCUGGAAGGUUAAGAGGAGUGGUUAGCUUCUGCGAAGCUACGAAUCGAAGCCCCAGUAAACGGCGGCCGUAACUAUAACGGUCCUAAGGUAGCGAAAUUCCUUGUCGGGUAAGUUCCGACCCGCACGAAAGGCGUAACGAUUUGGGCACUGUCUCAACGAGAGACUCGGUGAAAUCAUAGUACCUGUGAAGAUGCAGGUUACCCGCGACAGGACGGAAAGACCCCGUGGAGCUUUACUGUAGCCUGAUAUUGAAAUUCGGCACAGCUUGUACAGGAUAGGUAGGAGCCUUUGAAACGUGAGCGCUAGCUUACGUGGAGGCGCUGGUGGGAUACUACCCUAGCUGUGUUGGCUUUCUAACCCGCACCACUUAUCGUGGUGGGAGACAGUGUCAGGCGGGCAGUUUGACUGGGGCGGUCGCCUCCUAAAAGGUAACGGAGGCGCUCAAAGGUUCCCUCAGAAUGGUUGGAAAUCAUUCAUAGAGUGUAAAGGCAUAAGGGAGCUUGACUGCGAGACCUACAAGUCGAGCAGGGUCGAAAGACGGACUUAGUGAUCCGGUGGUUCCGCAUGGAAGGGCCAUCGCUCAACGGAUAAAAGCUACCCCGGGGAUAACAGGCUUAUCUCCCCCAAGAGUUCACAUCGACGGGGAGGUUUGGCA